CGGGAUUGUAGUUCCCUUGGUUUCUCCUGCAUACCCUCCUGUCUCUGGCUUCGCGCGCCUCUCCUGGGCUGCCGUCUCCCAGCCAAUCGGCUGCGCUCUCUGCUACGUGUGGCGUCACACGUAGCGGCCAAGAUGGCGCUAGCGGUUGGAGCAGGGGCUCUGCUGCGACCUUUACGGUAGUGAGGUUAGGGACGAUGGGAGAGCAGCUUUGUUCCUGAAGUGCCGUCGAGGAUUAGGAUCGAGUUUCUUCGAUCGUGAGGGCAAUUAUUAGUGGCCUCUAGCCCCCCAGAUGGCAUCUUGAGGAGAGAGAAUCCACGCUACGAGAACUAACAUAGUGGACAUCGCAGUUGUCCGUAGCCGAUUUGCGGGUUACGGAGUUGUUGCAAGUAAAGAAGGGGAAAUCCGAGCGUUCUCGCGUUGGAUUUCCUCCACGUGUGAAGUGGGAAUGGUAGUGAUAUCUCGUGCUAUCUCUGUCAAGGGCAAGAAGGAGAAGGAAUUUAUUUGAGGCCCUACGACGUGGUAGGUUCACCCUCAGCCUUUGUUCUUAUUUCAUCUUAUUUGUGGAGAAGGUCUUUUCGUUCCUAUUUUACAGGUGCGGUGGCUCACGCCUGUAAUCCCAACACUUUGGGAGGCCGAGGCAGGCGGAUCAUCUGAGAUCGAGAGUUCGAGACCAGCUUGACCAACAUGGAGAAACCCCGUCUCUACUAAAAGUACAAAAUUAGCCAGGCAUGGUGGCACAUGCCCGUAAUCCCAGCUACUCGGGAGGCUGAGGCAGGAGAGUAGCUUGAGCCCAGGAGGCGGAGGUUGUGGUGAGCCGAGAUCGCGCCAUUGCACAGCCUGGGCAACGAGCGAAACUCCAUCUCAAAAAAAUAAAUAAAAAUUUUUUUAAAAAAGAA
rnacentral:lncRNA from 10 species